GAUGAACGCUAGCGGGAGGCCUAACACAUGCAAGCCGAGCGGUAGAGUUCCUUCGGGAACUUGAGAGCGGCGUACGGGUGCGUAACACGUGUGCAACCUACCUUUAUCUGGGGGAUAGCCUUUCGAAAGGAAGAUUAAUACCCCAUAAUAUAUUGAAUGGCAUCAUUUAAUAUUGAAAACUCUGGUGGAUAGAGAUGGGCACGCGCAAGAUUAGAUAGUUGGUGAGGUAACGGCUCACCAAGUCUGUGAACUUUAGGGGUCCUGAGAGGGAGAUCCCCCACACUGGUACUGAGACACGGACCAGACUCCUACGGGAGGCAGCAGUGAGGAAUAUUGGACAAUGGGUGAGAGCCUGAUCCAGCCACCCCGCGUGAAGGAUGACGGUCCUAUGGAUUGUAAACUUCUUUUGUACAGGAAUAAACCUAUUUACGUGUAAAUAGCUGAAGGUACUGUACGAAUAAGCACCGGCUAACUCCGUGCCAGCCGCCGCGGUAA
rnacentral:rRNA from 1 species